AACGAACGCUGGCGGCAGGCUUAACACAUGCAAGUCGAACGGUUGUAGCAAUACAGCAGUGGCGCACGGGUGAGUAACGCGUGGAUAUCUGCCUUUUGGUUCGGAAUAACUCCGGGAAACUGGAGCUAAUACCGGAUGGUUCCUGCGGGAUAAAGAUUUAUCGCCAAAAGAUGAGUCCGCGUACGAUUAGCUAGUUGGUGAGGUAAUGGCUCACCAAGGCGACGAUCGUUAGCUGGUCUGAGAGGACGAUCAGCCACACUGGGACUGAGACACGGCCCAGACUCCUACGGGAGGCAGCAGUGGGGAAUAUUGGACAAUGGGGGCAACCCUGAUCCAGCCAUGCCGCGUGAGUGAUGAAGGCCUUCGGGUUGUAAACCUCUUUCUGGAGAAGAGCAAGGACGGUAUCCCAGGAAUAAGUACUCGGCUAACUACGUGCCAGCAGCCGCGGUAAU
rnacentral:rRNA from 1 species